AGGGAGAGCUUGAACCUCUACGUCAUGGUUACUCUUGAGGAGGGAUUUUCUCCUUCUACCACCUCACAUCAAAGUAGAAACAGUGAUUCAAACAAGUCGUCCACCUAAGUGACAGAAUGUUGGCUGAUACUCCGGCUCUGCUGAGAAACCAAGGAAGACUGGACUUCUGUCAUUCUUCUUGGCAGUCUGGCACCUUUGAACAUGCCUACUCUGGGGAGUUUUCUACUAUAAGAGUCCCUAGGGAGGGUAUCAGAAAUUAUUUUUUCCAGUUUUGUUUUUUUUUUAAGUGGUUAUGGCCUCAGCAGGGAAUCUAGGUGCUGUCAACCAAGACAUUUACUUAUAAGUCAUAGAUCUGGAAGGUAGAGAAGAAGAGAAGCAAGCAUUGAGAAGAACUGACUGUGACAAAGGCAGCCCCAGAGACACAUGGCUUCCAGAGCCAGCAGAGAAGGAGACUCUGAAGGUGUAUCCAGGGCUCAUAUUUGUGUUGCCAGAUGUACUGGGUCUCUCUUGGGACUAUGCUCCUGAGUAAAGUGGAUGUUACAUUUGGCCACAAAGCCUCCAAGCCUGGUUCUCCAUCCUCCAAGCAAUGUCAAAAGCUAUCUAGAGUCCUUAAUACAUUCCUUUCCAGCUUAAAUCAGGUGGUUCUUUGGCUAACUACUUAAGAAUCACAGUUGAUCCCUCCAUUUACUAAUGGAAUAUAAUUGCGGGGUUGAAGAAGUCAGAGAGAGACUCCUCAUCAAAGUUACAGGCUAUGGUCUCAAAAGACUCUCAUCACAGGUUGCCUGCAGAUCCUGCAGAAUUUCCUGCUUCCUAUUAUAGAAUAGAACCUGAGAGCUGCUUAGCAUGCCUAAUGCAUUAAUUGUAAGAAGAGGCAAAGUGAAGUUCAUCGGUAGGUGAAAAAUUGGGCAGACAACCUGCCUGUUACUAAAAGCAAUUUCUUAUCAAAUAGGGCAAAGUGAAAAACAGUUAACCAUAGUUUUGGGC
ensembl:lncRNA